rnacentral:lncRNA from 1 species
AAAAUGUUGAAUUUAAAACUUAAGGGCCGUUUGGUUGCAUGUAGUUGCAACUGUACGGCAGUUGUAACUGUAUAUAAAUACAAACUCGGUAUUUGAUUUGAUGUAUUUAACUCCAACUGCUGCAGUAAGAAGUGCAGGAGGUGGUCCAACUGCAACAGUUGGAACAACGCACAAAUUGGCUGCAAUUCUAACUGCAACAGUUGGAAAGUGUAACUUUAAAUAAAAGGUAACCUUGCCUCUUUAAAUAUUUUUUAAAUAGAAAAUAAAUUUUUUGUUACAUUAGAGGUAAUCUCACCAUUAUAUAUAUAAAAUAAUAAAAUUUUAAAAAUAUUUCUCAACUGCAUGGAACUAAAUAAAUUAUUUGUAGUUGCGGCGCUUUCUACUACAUCCAACCAAACAUGAUGUAUGUAAUUAUAACUGUUGUAUUUUUAACUAUAUGCAUAUUUAAUUAUAUUGUAUUUAUAAUUAGAUACAACCAAACGGCCCUUA